UUUGGUGGCUCGUCCGGAGGUGUCACACCCGAUCCCAUCCCGAACUCGGAAGUUAAGACCUCUAUGGCCGAUGAUACUUGGGCUUAAGUCCUGGGAAAGUAGGUAGCCGCCAGAA
rnacentral:rRNA from 1 species